GACGUAGGAUGCGAGCGUUGUCCGGAUUUAUUGGGCGUAAAGAGUUCGUAGGUGGUUUGUUAAGUCUGAUGUUAAAGAACGAGGCUCAACCUCGGAAAUGCAUUGGAUACUGACAGACUUGAGUGCAGUAGAGGCGAGUGGAAUUCCCAGUGUAGCGGUGAAAUGCGUAGAUAUUGGGAAGAACACCAGUGGCGUAAGCGACUCGCUGGGCUGUAACUGACACUGAGGAACGAAAGCCAGGGGAGCAAAUGGG
rnacentral:rRNA from 1 species